rnacentral:rRNA from 1 species
UUUUUAUGGAGAGUUUGAUCCUGGCUCAGGAUGAACGCUGGCGGCGUGCCUAAUACAUGCAAGUCGAGCGAACAGACGAGGAGCUUGCUCCUCUGACGUUAGCGGCGGACGGGUGAGUAACACGUGGAUAACCUACCUAUAAGACUGGGAUAACUUCGGGAAACCGGAGCUAAUACCGGAUAAUAUAUUGAACCGCAUGGUUCAAUAGUGAAAGACGGUUUUGCUGUCACUUAUAGAUGGAUCCGCGCCGCAUUAGCUAGUUGGUAAGGUAACGGCUUACCAAGGCAACGAUGCGUAGCCGACCUGAGAGGGUGAUCGGCCACACGUGGAACUGAGACACGGUCCA